rnacentral:piRNA from 1 species
UACUUAGGAAAGUAACUGCUGGCCAUC